rnacentral:rRNA from 1 species
AACGAACGCUGGCGGCAUGCCUAACACAUGCAAGUCGAACGAGACCUCCGGGACUAGUGGCGCACGGGUGCGGAACGCGUGGGAAGCUGCCUUUAGGUACGGGAUAACUCAGAUAAAUUUGAGCUAAUACCGGAUGAUGUCUUCGGACCAAAGAUUUAUCGCCUUUAGAUGGGCCAGGGUUGGUUUAGCUUGUUGGGGGUGUAAAGGCCUAACAAGGCGGCGAUCCGUAGCUGGUCUGAGGGGAUGAUCAGCCACACUGGGACUGAGGCAGGGCCCAGACUCCGACACUAGGCCACAGUCGAGAAUCCUACGCGAGGGAGGAGAGGCGAAUAUAGCCAUACCGGGUAAGUCAUGAAGGCGCUAUGGCGGGUAAGUGAUUAUGUCGGUAGGGAAGUGCAGCUCUUUUACACGCGAUGAUAAUGACAGUACCGGGAGAAUAAGCACCGGCUAACUCCGUG